AUUAUUAUCAUUAUCAUUAUUGGUUUAUUAUUAUUAUAAUAUUAAAAAAAAGUUGUCAUUGCAGUUGUCAUUACAUUUAUUUUAUUUUUUAUAUAUUUUUUUUUAAUUUCCGCCCUUGCGCAGAAAACUCAAAAAACUAUUGAAUUAAUCAGCUGUCAAAAAUUACAGUCGUGGUGCCAACAACACUUGUCAUAUUUAUUUACUCCAAAAAAUCAAAUAUAUAAUUAUAUUUUAAUAUCUAUAAUAACAUUUUAUUGAUACAAUUUAAUCUUCAUUUAAAAUUGAUAAAUAUAUUUUAUACUCUUUUUGUAUUUAAAUUGUUAUUGUUGUAAAUAAAAAAGUGAAAUGCAGUGAUGGCAGGAGGAAGUGGAAGUUUUAUAAGUAAACCAGCAAGAGGAUGGCUUCAUCCAGACAAUCUUGUCAGCAAAGAAGGCAUAACUUAUGCUGUUCGAUACAUUGGUUGCCUUGAAAUUUAUACAUCAAUGAAAAGUUUAGAUUUUGAAACAAGAUCAUCUGUUGCCAAAGAAUGUAUUAAUCGAGUUUGUGAAGCAGCAGGUUUAAAAUCAGCUGAUAAAAAAAGAAGAGUUGACAGAAAAGUAUUGCGAGCAAUUGCUGAAAAACCAUGUAUGGAUAAUGCUGGUUCAAAUAUAAAUUUAACAAUAAGCAGUACAAGUUUAGCAUUAACUGGUCUUGAAACUGGUAAUAUUAUAGCUAAACAUGAAAUGCCAAGAAUAUCAUUUGCAUCUGGUGGUGAUACUGAAAUACUUGAUUUUGUUGCUUAUGUUGCAAAAGAUUUACAAGAAUGGCGUGCAUGUUAUGUAUUAGAAUGUGGUGGUGGUUUAGCACAAGAUGUUAUAUCAACAAUUGGUCAAGCAUUUGAAUUAAGAUUUAAAGAAUUUUUAACAAAACCAUCAUCAAUUCAUCCAAUGACGUUAAAUGGAAUACGUGAACCAGAUCGUGAUUAUUACAAUGAUUUACCUGGUAAAGUACCACCAGAUAUUGGUCCACCGCCAGUACCACCAUUACCAAUAACAUCAGCAACAUUACCAAAUUUAAAACAUCAUCAUCAUCAUCACCAUCAUCAACAUCAUCAUUCUGGUCAAAAUCAUGGACAAGCAUUAUUGUCAUCAUCAUCAUCAUCAUCGUCAGCAACAUCAUCAUCAUUAACAACAGCAGCAGCAUCAGCAGCAACAACAACAACAAAUACAGGACAUUGUAGUGGAUAUGAUGGUUUUACAAAUGGUAAAAUAAAACAAUCAUGUCAACAACAAUGGCCUGAAACUGGUAAUUUAAUUGAUCUAAAUUCUGAUGGUGCAACAUCAUUAACAAUAUCAUCAGAUCAACCAGAACAUAAUUAUGUUAAUGAUACUAUUAUAAAUUCAACAAGAGAUUGUAAAAGAGAAACAUCAACAUUAUUUGAUGCAUUUGAUAUGCAACCAUUUAGUACAGCAAUAUCAGAAAUGAAUAAAUUAAGUCCAAAAUCACAAAAACAACAAUUAAAACAUGAAGUGUGGUAUCAUGGUAGUGUUAGUAGAUCUGAGGCUGAAUCAAUGCUAACAAAAGAUGGUGAAUUUUUAGUUAGAGAAUCACAAGGUACACCUGGACAAUAUGUUCUUACUGGUAUGAAUAAUGGAAUACCAAAACAUUUAUUAUUAAUUGAUCCAGAAGGAGUGGUACGCACAAAAGAUCGUAUAUUUGAUAGUGUCAGUCACUUGGUUAAUCAUCAUUGUGACAAUGCGUUACCUAUUAUAUCUGCUGAUAGUGCACUUGUUCUAAGAUAUCCAGUACUCAGACGUACAGACUACUAAAUAUUAAUAAUAAUUAACUGCUGCCAAUUGAGUAGCCAAAUAAUUAUUCAAAAUUUACUUAAAAAAUCAGAUCAAGUCUUGGAGCAUUUUUACAAUUUGGAUCAAGUGAACCAAGUGGAACACUACUUACUGGAUGUAAAAUUUUUUUUAAAUCUUCAUUUUCAUUUUCAAAUAUUUGACAUUCAUCAUUUUCUUCAUUAACUAUUUCAUUUGACACAAUCAUACGAUAAUCUGAUGAUAAAUCUGUACCAAAAAAUUUACCCAUUUUUAAUUAUUAACUCAUCAUUUAAAAUAUAUUUAUUUAUUACAAUUUUUAUGAGAAAUUCGAUAGAGAUGUUUUCCAACAUUGAAAACAAUGUCUCCACUUUUAGAAGAAAACACAAUAUUUCUUGCGAUAAUAUUUAUUUGUAAAAUCUACAAAAAAUAAUAAUAAUAUUUAGUAUUUUUUAA
rnacentral:misc_RNA from 1 species